CUGCUUUCUUCAGCAGCACAUCUACUAAAACUGGGACAAUACAAAGAUUAACAUGGUCCCUGCAUAAGGACAACAUGAAAGUUUGGGAAGCAUUCCAUAUUUUU